CCUACGGGAGGCUGCAGUGAGGAAUAUUGGUCAAUGGCCGCAGGGCUGAACCAGCCAAGUCGCGUGAGGGAUGACGGUCCUAUGGAUUGUAAACCUCUUUUGUCAGGGAGCAAAGGGCGCCACGUGUGGCGCUUUGCGAGUACCUGAAGAAAAAGCAUCGGCUAACUCCGUGCCAGCAGCCGCGGUAAUACGGAGGAUGCGAGCGUUAUCCGGAUUUAUUGGGUUUAAAGGGUGCGCAGGCAGAAUGUCAAGUCAGCGGUAAAAUUUCGGGGCUCAACCCCGUCGUGCCGUUGAAACUGGCGUUCUUGAGUGAGCGAGAAGUAUGCGGAAUGCGUGGUGUAGCGGUGAAAUGCAUAGAUAUCACGCAGAACUCCGAUUGCGAAGGCAGCAUACCGGCGCUCAACUGACGCUCAUGCACGAAAGCGUGGGUAUCGAACAGGAUUAGAUACCCUAGUAGUC
rnacentral:rRNA from 1 species